rnacentral:rRNA from 1 species
UACGGGGGGAGCAAGCGUUGUUCGGAUUUACUGGGCGUAAAGGGCGCGUAGGCGGUCAGCACAAGUCAGUUGUGAAAUCUCCGGGCUUAACUCGGAAAGGUCAACUGAUACUGUGCGACUAGAGUGCGGAAGGGGCAACUGGAAUUCUCGGUGUAGCGGUGAAAUGCGUAGAUAUCGAGAGGAACACCUGCGGCGAAGGCGGUUGCCUGGAGCUUUGCUGACGCUGAGGCGCGAAAGCGUGGGGAGCGAUCCGG